GCAGUGUUGUCGCUUUGUUCCCUGAUCUGAUCUAUAGGCUGUUCAUCAAAGUAGACAAUUUUGCAUUGAUAACCAAAUAUAAUCUCAACGAAUGUUCAAACAGUAAACCAAACAACAAGAAUCCAUCCAAAAAGACUGGAUGGUGAACCCAGUCAACCCAGCAGCAGCCAGACCAGACCUACCUUACCCCACACCAUGAAACAAUCCCCUCACACGCAAUUACCCUGGGCCUGCAUCUCCCUCUCCUAAGACCUCACUGGGAAGCUAUGCAACUAAGGGUCAAUGAACACUCUUGCUGUAAAACAUUUAUAGCUCUAGCUAGCAUUUCAUAGUUUCUACAAUGUCAAUUCAUUAUGCGAAUAGGGUUCGAGCAGCAAACAUUGUUUUAAAUAGAUUCAGCUGGUAUGGCAGUUAUUAUACUAACGCAAGUGCUUUCAGAAGGGAAAUCAGUCUGUCUCACUACUUGGUUCCUAUUUUCCGGUGAUUCAGUGACAGAGCCCAGGAUGACCGAGAAAACUGGACAAAAUGUUUGUCCUUUUCACAUGGUGAGGAAGUUGUCUGUCCUGUCCCCCCUCUAGGCUCUUCUCUGGCAGUAACAUUAAACAGGAUCUAGCUGCGCACAGAUUCUGAACAGGACGUCUCAGGGUUCUAGUUAAUGGAAGAUGGUGGCUACCCACUCCGGACAGAAGUCAAUUCAACGUCUAUUCCACGUUGGUUCAACGUAAUUUCAUUGAAAUGAUGUGGAAAACAAUGUUGAUUCAACCAGUGUGUAUGUCCAGUGGGUAGAACUUAAAACUCAGUAAAUACACUAAAAACCUCACAUUUAGCCCCUUAGCUGGGGGUAAGGCUACUUAUUCACCGCAGUCAAUGGAAAGUUACUACUAAGGGCAAUGCAGAACAUCCAAUAUUACCCCUUUUCAAUGUUGGUCAAACAGAAAGCCACUCAUAAUGCAUUCUAGGAAAGAGGCUUAAUAGAAACAGCCUGGAUGGCCUAGCAACAUGGAAAAUUUAAAUAGAUACACACAUUUUCAGCACACAGGCUUCACCUGACACCACACAGCCCAGGGCCAGAGAAGAGAACCCUCACACCUUUAGGGCUCUCCCUUCCUACCCAGCAGAGCCAAGUGUUUAUAAAUCAACAGAACACACCGUUCUUAGCUCACACUUAGCUCACUUACAUAUUGUUCAUGUGUCAUCACACCACGUUGACAUCUCAUUGAUCCACCUUUGGGAAUUCAACAAUGUGUUAUCACUAAGCUUUAAAACCAUCUAAAAGCAUAACAAAAUUCCAAUGGACAAACAAUUGUCAUCUAAAUGUGCUAUCACUGCGCUUCCAAAUAUUCAAACUUGAAGAUAGAUGGGGAGUGGUGGUGAACAGCAAACUUAACAGAGCAUGAGAAAAUCUGCAAGGAACAAUGGGAGAAAAUCCCCAUACC